CUGCGUAUACUCCUAAAAUAGACCCUGAUAACUAUUGGGCUAUUUGGCCUUUUCAGAUAAAACUUAUAAUAGAAAUUUGCGUAAGGUAACGGACAACAAGAAUAGUCCGAUAAAAAAAUGCCGGCAUGGCGCCGGCAUCAUUUAU
rnacentral:sRNA from 1 species